CCCGCACAAGCGGUGGAGCAUGUGGUUUAAUUCGACGCAACGCGAAAACCUUACCUGGGUUUGACAUGCCGAGUACCCGAUGGAAACAUUGGGUGCCCCGUAAGGGGAACUUGGACACAGGUGCUGCAUGGCUGUCGUCAGCUCGUGCCGUGGGGUGUUGGGUUAAGUCCCGCAACGAGCGCAACCCUCACCCUUAGUUGCCAUCAUUAAGUUGGGCACCCUAAGGGAACUGCCGCAGUUAAUGCGGAGGAAGGUGGGGAUGACGUCAAGUCCUCAUGGCCCUUAUAUCCAGGGCUACACACGUGCUACAAUGGGCGGUACAAAGGGUCGCGAACCUGUAAGGGGGAGCUAACCCCAGAAAACCGUUCUCAGUUCGGAUUGGAGUCUGCAACCCGACUCCAUGAAGUUGGAAUCGCUAGUAAUCGCGGAUCAGAACGCCGCGGUGAAUACGUUCCCGGGCCUU
rnacentral:rRNA from 1 species